CUACCGGAUGAUUGGCACCGAGUGCUGGGUUAGCCUCCCGACUCCUGCUAGGCUCCCUCGGUGCUGAGUGAACGAGCGCCACGUGGCUCUUGGCCACUUCUGGCUAGCCUGGUUGUCCCCAAGCUGCAAGAAUCCCAUGGAGUGACGACAUUCUAUUCCUCAAGAUCCGACCUUCUCACAUUCUGCCUCUCUUCCAUCAGCUUUUACAGAGUGAAGCCACCACACAAACAAAAGACUGACUGCAAAACAUUGGCGUCAGGUUUUCACACAAGCGUGAUGUCAGCAGGGCAGUGGCAGGAGGCUCCUUGAGGCUUGGAACUAGUAUUUGAAAGAGACUUAGGUCACUGGAAAGCAAGCACCCUGCAGAUCUGGACUGGCACUUUGGAGGGAGACCGACUUUUCAUCCAGGGGAGCCCAACAGAGUCCCUCAGCACCUCCCUGCUGUUUUACUGCGUGGCCAGCGAAAAAGGUGGCGUAUGAGAACAUUGAGGAAUGGGAAGAAUCAGGGACAAAGUGAGCCAGGGCCUCUUCCAAGAGAGCCACCAGGCUGGACAACUACGGGGAGAAACACUACCACCGCACAACCAGCAGAUGAACUCUUCUCUGAGAUCUAAUUCUAGAAGCUCAAGCCGCUUAGUUCACAGAACUGUGCUUGCGAGGGGUGCCAAGUUUCAAUGCAAAGUUAUGCAAGGUCCUGUGUUUGGAAAUAUAGACAAAAGAUCCCAAGAUUCAUUUAGCCAAGGCUGGCCCCCAGCCUGCAGUUAAAUGUUCCACUUGAUGACCCACCAACCAGCAUACUCCGAAGAUCCAACUUAGGAAUGUACGAUAUUCAUCUCCAUCUGAAGGGACCUACUCUCUGGCAAUGGCUCCUCCCAGAGCCUUAGGGAGGAAGAUCUGGCUCCUGGGUUCCAGUGCAGCUGGAUGUCCCACCUGCCUCCAGGCAAGGUCUUACCUGGAUCCAUGCAGCCAGAGUGAGUCACCCUAUUGGUAUUUGUGGCUCUCGUGGUCCUACAUCCGAGUUGUGCACAACAAAGACAGAGCUCGGCCUCAUGAAGGGAACCACUCACUCAGUGAACACUCUUGCUUAGCACACACAACAGAAGCCUUCUUCAGCCUGCAGCUAUCUAGUUUUUUUUUUUUUUUUUUACAAUAAAUCUUAUUUCAUU